GCUUAUGAUAGUGAAACAUGACAUUGGAGUUCUCGGAGUGCAGUUUGUCAAUCUCAACCAGUCAUCGUUCCUCUUUAGUGUUCCUUUAAACAACAGACAAUGAGGACUGCUUA
rnacentral:lncRNA from 1 species